rnacentral:rRNA from 1 species
ACGCCAUUAGGUGGAUAGCUAGGUUUAGGAAAGCGAUGAAGGGCGUGGCAAGCUACGAUAUUGCCUUGGCGAGGCGCAUGCAGCCUUAGAACCAAGGAUUCCCGAAUGAGACAUCUUAUCUUUUUAAGAUGAUUAGUAAUAAUCGCUAACGCAGGGGACUGAAACGUCUUAGUACCUGCAGGAAAAGAAAUUAAUCAAGAUGCCGUUAGUAACAGCGAGUGAAACCGGCAGAAGGCAAACUGAAUCCUUUAUAGAAAUGUAGAGGAGAUGUGGUGUUGUAAGAGCUGUCAUAAGCGUCUUAAUUAUCUGAGUCGAAGUUUUCUGGAAAGUUGCGCUAUAGAGGGUGAUAGCCCCGUAGACAAAAGAUAGAAAGAUGUGACAGAUUUCUUGAGUAAGGCCUAUCGGAUAUUAGGUCUGAAUUUGGGAGGCAUCAACUUCCAACUUUAAAUAUUUCCUAAGACCAAUAGUGUACGAGUACCGUGAGGGAAAGCUGAAAAGAACCCAUGACAGGGUGUGAAAAGAUCUUGAAACCUAAUGGUUAUAGUAAGGUACGGCUCUUUGGAGUUGUACUGUACGUUUCGAAUAACGGGCCAGGGAGUUUAUUUAAGUGGCGAGAGUAAAUCUCUUUACGAGAAAUAUUCACAAGGAAACUAAAAGCUCGCAGUUUACGAGGAGCAUGGUAUGAAAAUGCCAUAAGUCACUUGGAUAUGACCCGAAACCGCUCGAUCUAACCUAGGAUAGGGUGAAGCAGCAGUAAUGUUGUGGAGGCCCGCAGAGGUUCUGUGUGCAAGCGUUCUUCUAAUUUUAGGUUAGGGGUGAAAAGCCAAUCGAGAGCGGUGAUAGCUGGUUCCUACCGAAGUUGGCCGCAGUCAAGCCUUAAGGGAGAUUGCUAAGACGGUAAAGCGACGGAUUAGAGAUUUAGGGAGGUAAAACUCUCGGUUUCUUGUCCAACUCAAAAUGUUUUAGCAUCUAAGAACUUAGGAGACGGCAGCAGGCGGUAAACGACUGUUGCGAGAGGGGAACAUCCCAGACUAAAAUUAAGGUCCCUAAAUACUGAUUAAGUGUUAACGGGUGAAAGGUGUGUCUUACCAUAGACAGCAGGGAGGUAUGCUUAGAAGCAGCAAUCCUUUAAAGAAAGCGUAAUAGCUCACCUGUCUAGGUAAGAUGCCCUGAAAAUGGACGGGGCUAAAUCAGUUACCGAUAUUUUAGACUUAAGCAAAUGCUUAAUGUGGUAGGUAGGUAUAUUGUUGGGGCAGAAGUCUUUCUGUAAAGAUGGAUCGACCUGACAAUAACAAGAAUCCUGGCGGAAGUAGGAUCUAAAUAGCGUGAGAACCGCUAAUACCGAAAGGGCAAGGGUUUCUUAGCACUAUCUUUUAGCUAAGAGUAAGUCGGUCCUAACUAAGUUCAUAACAUGACACUUGGGAAAGGGCAAAGGGUUAAUAUUCCCUUACUACUUGAGUACUUAUGGCAACAGAAGUUUAGUCUCUGACGCUUCUGGCUAGGUUGACAUCUUUAACUAUGGAUGCUAACUAAGACAAAUCAGGGGAGUGUUGUAAUAAUGAGAACCUGAUUAAACUUAGGAAUGGCUAGCUUAUGGCUAGUUCAGCUGAUGCCUGGAGCCAGUGAAAAAGGGACUAAAAUGGAUCUCAAGUAACCAUACCCAGAACCAACACUGGUGCCCCUAGGUGAGAAGCCUAAGGUAUGUGGGAGUAAUCUAACUAAGGGAACUCGACAAAUUGGUCCUGUAUCUUCGGUACAAGGGAUCCCUGCGAUUGUCUCGCAAGAGGCGAUUACAGGGUGCAAUAACCGGGGAGGUCCGACUGUUUAACAAAAACAUAGCUUCUCGCAAGCCUGUAAAGGUGAGUAUGGGAGGCCACGUCUGCCCAGUGCUAGUACCUCAAACUUCUUUUCAAGGGAGCUAAGGGCUAGUAAACGGCGGGAAUAACUAUAAUUCUCUUAAGGUAGCGAAAUGCCUUGUCGUUUGAAUGACGACCUGCAUGAAAGGCGUAACGAGAUCUCCAUUGUCCCUAGUUAGAAUCCCCUGAACACACUAUUCAGGUGCAAAGGCCUGAGGCUUCCAGUGGGAAGCAAAGACCCCGUGGAACUUUACUACAACUUGUUGCUGUGAUAUGGAUGCUAAUGUGUAGUGUAGGUGGAAGUCGUUGAGGCUCAGUCGCUAGAUUGAGUUUAGACAACAAUGAAACACCACCCUAUAGUUUCUAUACCACUUACUCUGAAUAAGAGGACACCAUUAGGUGGGUAGUUUGGCUGGGGCGGCACCCUGCUGAAAGGAUAUCAGUAGGGCCCAAAGGUCAGCUCAUCUCGGUUAGAAAUCGAGAGUAGAAUGCAAGAGUAAAAGCUGGCUUAACUGUGUUCCUAACACUAUGGAACGCAGGAACGAAAGUUGGGUCUAGCGAACCCUUAUGUCCUCCUUGAUGGGGGCUAAGUAUGACAGAAAAGCUAUCCCGGGGAUAACAGAGUUGUCGCGCCUAAGAGCUCAAAUCGACGGCGCGGUUUGCUACAUCGAUGUCGGCUCGUCGCAACCUGGCUGUGCAGAAGCAGCCAAGGGUGGAGGUGUUCACUCAUUAAAGCGGCUCGUGAGCUGGGUUCAGAACGUCAACAAUGGCGUUGCAUAAGAGCAAUCUUAUGAAAAAUUAAAUUGGCUCAUAUCGGUGAAACCUUAACUUUUUAAACUGUAAAAGUUAUGGUAAUACCGAGGGAAGGUGUGGCUUAUGGAUUCAACAAGAAUUGCUUAUAUUGCUGGAUUCCUUGAUGGUGAUGGAAGUAUAUUCUUCCAGAUUGUAAAAAGAAAAGAUUACAGGAUUGGUUUUCAAAUAAGAAGCACAAUUGCUUUUUAUCAAAAAAACUAAACACGUUAAAAUCUUAAAA